AUGCAGUCGAGCGGCAGCACAAGUGAGUUUACUCCUGAGGUGGCGAGCGGCGGACGGGUGAGUAAUGCCUAGGGAUCUGCCCAGUCGAGGGGGAUAACAGUUGGAAACGACUGCUAAUACCGCAUACGCCCUACGGGGGAAAGAGGGGGACCUUCGGGCCUCUCGCGAUUGGAUGAACCUAGGUGGGAUUAGCUAGUUGGUGAGGUAAUGGCUCACCAAGGCGACGAUCCCUAGCUGUUCUGAGAGGAUGAUCAGCCACACUGGGACUGAGACACGGCCCAGACUCCUACGGGAGGCAGCAGUGGGGAAUAUUGCACAAUGGGGGAAACCCUGAUGCAGCCAUGCCGCGUGUGUGAAGAAGGCCUUCGGGUUGUAAAGCACUUUCAGUAGGGAGGAAAGGGUGAGUCUUAAUACGGCUCAUCUGUGACGUUACCUACAGAAGAAGGACCGGCUAACUCCGUGCCAGCAGCCGCGGUAAUACGGAGGGUCCGAGCGUUAAUCGGAAUUACUGGGCGUAAAGCGUGCGCAGGCGGUUUGUUAAGCGAGAUGUGAAAGCCCUGGGCUCAACCUAGGAAUAGCAUUUCGAACUGGCGAACUA
rnacentral:rRNA from 1 species